rnacentral:lncRNA from 1 species
GGGAAUAAAAUGUAACUUGACCAAAGUCAGCAGUAAUACAUGAAAACCAACUCACAGCUCCCCAAAGGUAAUCAGCUUAAGUUCAUUUCAAACAAUGCAAGCCAUACAUUAGUUCAUAUAUCAAAGUAAAUAUCCAACAAAACUGAGGUCAUCCUCAAAUCUUCCAACUCGGAUGACAUGCUCCAAGUUUAAGCUCCAGCAUACGAGUAAAAUCCAAAAAAAAAAGUAUCUAGAGGUAAAGAUAAAACAGAAAAGUGAGGAUUUCAAGCAGCAACAGCAGCUCAGCACAUCAACAACAACAGUUCUCAAUUCUUCUAGACCAUUUUCGGACCAAGAUGAACCUGAAAUUCUUUUGAGAGUUUUAAGUUAUUCCUAACAAUGAACCUAGAGAGCAAUUUUCAGCAAUUCAAGUUGAAAUGAUGCAGAAAACUUAUGUAUUUUUUUAGAGUAUCCAAGGAUGCUCAAAAUGAAGGGAAAGAGGUCAUAUAUAGUCAUGCCUAAGUCAGCCCUAGUCCAGCUAACCAAUUCCCUCUCUACCCCUUCUUUCUUGGUUAUUUUACCCUUCUUACCCCUUUAAAAAUAUCUGAAAACCUCUGCCCUUAACAAACCAGCUUUCAUCUUAUCCUCUAGAACCUUCCUCCCAACAGAAAAUGAUUCCCUCAACCCCAAAUGCCCAAAACACCCUCGACACUUUCUGUAUUUACCCUCAAACAAUCCAAAAACUGGGUCAAAUUAACCCAAGACCCAGCCCAAAUGAACGGGUCACUCAGCCGAGUUAAGGACAACCACAAUCAAUGCAAAAUAAACCAAACAAUCAGAAAAUAAUUAAACACACAACAAAAAGAUCAAAUCCAAAAAAAAAUAGAACACAAACCAAACAAUUUAGACUUCACGAUUAAACCUAAUUUAACUAACAAAUUAAGAUGAUUUCGACUAAUAAAGAAAAUAGGACAAACAAUGAAGCAGAUACAAAUAAAUAACAGAAAAAAUAGAAAAUCUAUAAUGAACAAAAAUUGUGAGAAAUAAGAGGGGAAAAUACCAAAACACGCCGGAAUGUCUUGGCAACAUGAAACCAAUUGACGAACGAAGACGGGAGUAAACAUUUGACCGGAAUUCGAUGAGUUCAUCAAAAUACGGCGUCCUCGGAAUGAACUAAAACCAAUGCUAAUCGAUUGCUCUCGUUAAGAGCAAUUGACUAACGUAGAUUAUAGUUCAAAGCGAGUCGCGACUUGUGCCGAAUUAGGAAAAAAUAGAAUAAAUUAGGGUUUGAAUUUCUAGAUUCGGAAUUGGGGGAAUUUUAUUGGGAUUUUUGGGAAAUAAACGUGGGAAUAGGAUUUAGGAUGGCCUCGGUAUUACGUGGUAUGAAUUUAGUGGUGGUUUGGAGUCGUGCCGUCACCGGAGAUGGUGAGGCGUUCUAGGGCGGCGCUAGGUUUUUUCAUCUCUGAGUAUGAGAGAAGUGAGAUGAGGC